AACUGGUUCACAGUGGGAAAUGGAGCAUUUAGAAAUGGAGAGGACAAUGGCCUGCAGCCCCCAGCAUGUGACUUCAAUCAAACUUGUAGGAGUAACAGCUGUUACAAGGUGAUGGCAGAGACCUAGCUGCACGUUUCUCCCUUCUGAACACCUCUGAGCUAUAUUUUGGUGACUGACAGCAUGAGGAAGGCAGAAGAGAGUGGACGGGGGAGUCAGAGGGGCAGAAAUGCCUUUCUGGAAUAUGCUAGGGCUAUAAAAUGAAUUUGACAUAUGUGGAAAGGAGAAGGGCAGCAAUAAAUUUGUAAGUCUAUGCAAAAUUAAAAUUGCUCAGUUUAGUAUGUUAGAAUAAUGAUGACUGACUGUAAUGAUAAUAUGUAAAUCCAU